rnacentral:rRNA from 1 species
GACGAACGCUGGCGGCGUGCUUAACACAUGCAAGUCGAACGCUGAAGCUCAGCUUUUGUUGGGUGGAUGAGUGGCGAACGGGUGAGUAACACGUGAGUAACCUGCCUCCUUCUUUGGGAUAACGCCCGGAAACGGGUGCUAAUACUGGAUAUUCACUGGUCUUCGCAUGGGGGUUGUUGGAAAGGGUUUUUCUGGUGGGGGAUGGGCUCGCGGCCUAUCAGCUUGUUGGUGGGGUGAUGGCCUACCAAGGCUUUGACGGGUAGCCGGCCUGAGAGGGUGACCGGUCACAGUGGGACUGAGAUACGGCCCAGACUACUACGGGAGGCAGCAGUGGGGAAUAUUGCACAAUGGGCGCAAGCCUGAUGCAGCGACGCCGCGUGAGGGAUGGAGGCCUUCGGGUUGUGAACCUCUUUCGCUAAUGGUCAAGCCGCAACAAUGGUUGUGGUGAGGGUAGUGGGUAAAGAAGCGCCGGCUAACUACGUG